UUACCCGGUGGGGAGUCGCUCCUCGCAGCCGCACACGGAACGGGGCGGACUCCGUCCACCACAACGUUUCAUUUACUGAGACUUUCUAGUCACCGGCAUGACGGUGAAUGUACACUAGAUAGCGGUAUAUUACCGCGGGCCGCUUAGGCCGCACACUGUGACUCGCUUGUGGGCAGCAUAAAGCAGCAUGUUCGAUUGUGAGUCAAGAAUUCAACAUAGCAAGUUUGUAUGAAGGUCUGGUUAUUAAAUGGGUACAUAGUUCAAUAGUAAUAUACUCUAAAACUCCCGGUUUCCAAUUGUCCACAUGGCUGGGAGAACCUAUUCACAUUCCUGUUGGAACGUUCCACAAAUGUAUACCCACCUCAUCUGGGACUGCCUCCUGGAGGAAUUCAGGUGUGUGAAGGUUACCUGUGUCCUGCGUAACUUCAUGAGGAUGGACACGAGGACCAGGAGGGGAUCUGCAGCUCGCCGCCGUGUCCCAGAGGAGAAGUCUGCUGCUCUGCAGGAUGUUUCAAGGAUGGGGUCCAACAACGCAGCAAGAGAGGCAAUCCGUGUGUGUGAGAUCUUCACCUCCUACUUCUUCAAAGAGGGUGCUGUUCCCUGGCAACACCAUAGACUACACUAUGCACAACCAAAGGCUCUUUUAAGAGGGUGCUGUUCCCUGGCAACACCAUAGACUACACUAUGCACAAUCAAAGGCUCUUUUAAGAGCCAUCCACAUUGCAAUAAGAGUAUUCUUCCAUUUACUUAGCUAUGUGAACUGCAGUUAUUCAAUUCCCAGUUUCUCUCCCUUUGAUGUCUACUUCUCAGGUGAGGGUGCUGUUUAGGUAAGGGUGUGAUGUCUGCAAAAACAAAACAGGCUACUUUUAAGUCACCCAUUUUGAAAAACUGUAGAACAAUUAGACACCCUAUAACCCACACCUACACACUCAUGUAUCAAUCUGAUUGAUAUAUUGUGUUGUGCAGUAAGCAGCCUCAGGUGUAUAACUGUGGCUCCUUCCACCUUCAAAGAAUAGACAAGAUGGCCAACCAUGGAGAAUAGUAAGACACUUCAUUAUUUCUAUAACUACACUAUAUUGUUUGUCCUCGUGUGACCGUUCAUGUUUUUCAGCAUAAAGUACUCUGCAGCCACUUAGUGUGGUGAACACCAGGUGAGGCCACACACAGAUUCCUGUUGAACACUGUCUUUAACCACCUUAUUUUCUCAAUAACAGUCUCUCUCCUUCACUUCAUCCCUCUCUCUUCUCCCUAAAUGCUCUAGGUUAUAUCAGCUGUUUCGGUGAACCCCUCCUGCAUCUGAACUGGCUACAUAGAGGGCACAGCAUGAUCAGAGAUAUGUUUUGAUGUGAGAGAGGAUGCCAACCCCCAGUCCUAUCAUCGCCACCUCACCCGCUCUGAAGAUAACCUUCGGGCCGACUAGAGACACUUAUGUAAUUGUGAUUGUAACAGUUUAACUUUAGUCCGUCCCCUCGCCCCAACCAGGGCGCGAACCAGGGACCCUCUGCACACGUCAACAACAGUCACCCACGAAGCAUCGUUACCCAUCGCUCCACAAAAGCAGCGGCCCUUGCAGAGCAAGGGGAACCACUACUUCAAGGUCUCAGAGCAAGUGACGUCACCGAUCGAAAGGCUAUUAGCGCGCACCACCGCUAACUAGAUAGCCAUUUCACAUCGGUUACAUGAUGAACUGAGAGAAUAUUUGUGUUGAUUCAAUUAUGCUGCCUUCUCUGCUCCAAUGUUCUUACCUCUUUCCCUUUUACACCUCUCGUCGCCACCUCUCUCGUCCUCUGUUUUUAUAACGUACGACAGAUGUGCAUCGUAGUACAGAUUGAACUUGUAUUCAUAAUAUUACAAUUAUAAUAUUUAUAAUGCAUGUUUUUAACACCUGGAUAAUGAACUUUCAAUAAAGCGUUUCACAUUCUCUA